CUGAACGGACGUGAUCUUGCCGCCAACACCCGCCCUCAACUGCUGCAACGGCCCGACUCCACAUCGGUGGCGAUCUCCAUGGUCGGCACGCCGGUCUACAAAGGCGGCGCCGUCGCCGGGGCCGUGCUGGUGCUGCACGACAUGACCAGCGAAAAGAAAUACAUCGCCCGCCUGUCGUGGCAAGCGUCGCACGACAGCCUGACCAAGCUGGCCAACCGCCGCGAGUUCGAACACCGGCUGGAAAA
rnacentral:misc_RNA from 1 species